GGCAAAAGCAGGAGGAAAUAAGGGUGGAGGUGGGGGGACAGGGACAGAAAGACGUAUCGGCCCUGGGAGAGAAGAAAACAACGCGUGAUCACCUCUAAUCCUUUGAAAAAAUGCCCCGGUGUCGGGAGGGCAAUUUACUAACAAGUAAUUAAAGGUCGCACCGGUUUGCAGGCGAGCCGGGCCAGAGGCUGCUGCAGGAGAAGAGCGGUGCAUGUGGAGAGAGGGAACAGCAAGUGGAUGGGAAAGGAGCCUCUACAACAUAAACCUCAUUGACUUAAUGGGUCGGUUUUGGAUUUCGCCUUCGAAAUGUUCGGCGAGUGGCAGCGUUGUGUUUCUGCCCCGCCGGUUCCCAGCCUCCAGCCCCGCUUCUCAUCCCGACGAGAAGCGGCUCCCAAAAACCCGCUGCUGGUUUUAUUUUGUUGCGUUAUUUGUUUCCUCUAGACCCUCUCACUUCUAGAAAAAAAAUAUUAAAUUUUACUUUUGAUUGGGGAAGAGCUUUAUUUCUAAUCUCGGAAGGAAAUGGGGGAUAUAUUUUGUUUACUUUUUUUUCCUGCUUUCUUUUGAUUUUCUGGCGAAAUCGAGGAAAAACCCGCAGCGCGUUGCGUGGGCUCCAUCUUCAUCCCCGCCCUGCGCUGUACAAAUACAUCGAAUAAAUAAGGGAAUAACUGAAUUUCCCGCACAAACAGAGCCGAUGGGUGCCCGGGCAAUGGGGGCGAGCAGCGGAGGCCCCCUCGCUCGGCCGCCUCCUCUCCGCGGGCGCGGAGGAGCCAGGCCCCGGCGGCGGGGGCAGCCCGGGAGCUCCGGGAGAUGCUCCGGGAGGUGCUGCCAGGAGAUGCUCCGGGUGAUGCUGCCCGGCUGCUCCUGCUCCGCCGGCAAAGAAAGCCCCGAGAGGGGCCGGCGGCAGCUCUGCGCCGUUGUCUUCUUCCGUGGCUUUUUGUUUAUUUGCAUCAUCCUUGUUUAUGGUUUGGUUUUAUUUUUUGAGCGGCUAGAAACUCUCUUUUUUUUUGUUGUUGCUUUUGUGAUUCUUUUCAAGGGUUAAAUGGGAUUGGGGUGUUCUGGAAAUACAUUUGCCUCUUGGUUCGAAAUGAAAGGUUCCUAAUUUUUAGGAAAACCAACCCCGGAGCCUUUAGGAACAUUGAUGCUCAGCGGUCCUUGCCUGCAGAGCUCCCAGGUAGACCCGGGCGGGUCUGUCCCCUCCUUUUGUGAAUUUUGGUGAGAGGGGAGAAUAAAGUCCCGCUCAAGAAUCGCGAGGAAGCCUCCGCUCAGCCCUCGCCCGUGUCUGUCAGCUCUUCCGCCGGCCGCAUCGGGAUAAUUUGCUUAUUCCCAGCAAGAGCGGUGUUUGUUUUGGUCGGCCCUUUAAAGGAGGAAAAAAAAAAA